GGGGGAGUUACACAGGGUUAGGGUUAUAGGGGGGAGUUACACAGGGUUAGGAUUAUAGGGGGGAGUUACACAGGGUUAGGGUUACGGGGGGAGAUACGCAGGGUUAGGGUUAUAGGGGGAGUUACACAGGGUUAGUGUUAUAGGGGGAGUUACGCAGGGGAAUUACGCAGGGUUAGGGUUAUGGGGGAGUUACACAGGGUUAGGAUUACAGGGG